UAAGGAAUAUUGGUCAAUGGACGCAAGUCUGAACCAGCCAUGCCGCGUGGAGGAUGAAGGUCCUCUGGAUUGUAAACUUCUUUUAUCUGGGACGAAACACUUCUUUUCUAAGAGGCCUGACGGUACCAGAUGAAUAAGCACCGGCUAACUCCGUGCCAGCAGCAGCGGUAAUACGGAGGGUGCAAGCGUUAUCCGGAUUCACUGGGUUUAAAGGGUGCGUAGGUGGGUAUGUAAGUCAGUGGUGAAAUCCCCGAGCUUAACUUGGGAACUGCCAUUGAUACUAUAUAUCUUGAAUAACGUAGAGGUAAGCGGAAAAUGUCAUGUAGCGGUGAAAUGAUUAUAUAUGACAUGGAACACCAAUUGCGAAGGCAGCUUACUAAGCGAAGAUUGACACUGAGGUACGAAAGCGUGGGUAGCAAA
rnacentral:rRNA from 1 species